UGUUUAAUUAAUUAUACACAUAUCUCUAAUGAGUUAUAAAAGGACAUGUAUUUUCAGGUAACAUUUGCACGAGGACGUUCGAAGACUUAUAGUGUAAACAGCAAAUCUUUCACAAUGGGGAAGUUGGCUGUUAUAGUGAUUCUGACUGUAUUUAUAGUUAACAUUGUUGCAGGAGGCCUUAUACCCUCUGAUCCAACCGAUGAGCCAACCGAUGCGCAAACCGAUGAGCCAACCGAGGAAAACGUAAAUGACGACGAUACUAGUGAAACGGAUAGUGAAAGCGAUGAACGUGAUAAAGACGAUGAUGAGACAUCAAAACAAACUAGUGUGGCCAACAGAAUCAAAUAACCCUGUGAUACAUAUACAGGUGGGAUAGUGAUAGUGACGAAAAACACUCAAAUGUCACAUUUAUUUUAAAAAAUAAAUAAAACAUAACUUAAUAUGUA